UUUUUUUUUUUUUCUUGCAUAAAAAAAGGUCUUGCUGAAAAAAAUCAAGAGCGCGAGAGGUGUGACUGGCAGGAGUUAUUUGUGCCUGUGGGCAAGUCACUCAACCGCUCAGUCUGAACAUCUCCACCUAGACUGGGGUAAAAUGACCUGCCUCAUUCUUUCUUUCAUUCAUUCACUCACUCAUUCGUUCACUCAUUCAUUCAUGGUGACGGAGCACCCAGGCUGUGCCAGGCAGACGUAGGUGCCUGGGGUCACAGGAGCACAAACACAAAAAGGAGCAAGAAGCCCUCAUGGAACUUAUAUUCUGGUAGAAGGAAAACAGAUAAUAAACAGGGAGGGGUGCUUGAUAAACACUAGCUCCCCUCACCCCCUUUCAGAAUGGGUGUUCCCGUCAUGGCGCAGCGGAAAGGAAUCCGACUGGGAACCAUGGGGUUGCGCGUUCGAUCCCUGGUCUCGCUCAGUGGGUUAAGAAUCCGGCGUUGCUGUGAGCUAUGGUGUAGGUCAAAGGACGCGGCUCGGGUUCUGAGCUGCUGUGGCUGUGGUGUAGGCCGGCAGCUAUAACUGAUCCAAUCCCUAGCCUGGGAACCUCUAUAUGCCUCGGGUGCGGCCCUAAAAAGCAAAAAUAAAAAAAUAAAAAGAAACAAAAAGGUGGAAAACAGAAAACAAAUCCCAUAGAAGCCAUCAGCUCUAACUCAGCACCAGACUAGAAAGUUUCACCUAAUCAACAAAUAGAGAAGAGCAGAGCCAGGGCCCUUGUACAGGAGGACACAGCUUGGGCUCAAAGUCACUUAUGCUGGAGCGGCCCCGGGCAAGUUAUUUAAACACUCUCAGCCUCAGCUUCCCCAUCAGGAGAUAACAACGACCUCCUAAGGUCGAGUGCACAUUCUGCAGAGAGGCAAACUGGACAAUGACACCAGCCUGGUGGGGCUGCAGCGGGGUUUAUGGCGAUAAUGCGGAAAAAGCUUUCACAGGAAGGCAGGUCAUGGUACAGAGUCGCUUCUUCAAAAUGCCAGGAACACCAGUGCAAGGGAGGCGGCCAGGAUGCGCCCCCAGGCCAGAGGUCAAAAGACAGCAGAGCUGGGGAGGCCAGGCCAGGGCUCCAGGAGCCUCGGAGAGUGUCCCCAGCCCCUCAGAUUCAGGCAGCUCAGGACAGCUUUGGGGCUGAUACAACAAUGGAACAGCCAAGAUUUGUUUGUCUUUUUUAGGGCCACACCUGCCGCGUGUGGAAGUUUCCAGGCUAGGGGUGGAAUCGGAGCUGCAGCUGCCGGCCUAUGCCACAGCCACAGCAAUGCAGGAUCCAAGCCAGGUCUGUGACCUACACCACAGCUCACGGCAACGCCGGAUCCUUAACCCACUGAGCAAGGCAAGGGAUCAAACCUGCGUCCUCGCAGAUACUAGUAGUGUUCUUAACCCGCUGAGCCACAACAGGAACUCCCACAAGACUUGAAACUUGGAUGUGGGGAAGAGUCGGCAGCCUGAACCUGGGCUGUGACACCUGGGACCAGGGGCAGACAUGCUCACACAUCUCAGGACACACGUGUGCCAGGAAAGUCUUUCCACUGCUAACACAUAAACCAAAACGCCAACAUUAUAAGCAUGAUUCAGGGAUGAGAGGACAAACCCCGGAAAGAGACAGGCCAGACCAUAAGGGGCUGAACCUGAACCUCCCAUGUCUAAACAGGAACCCGGUCUCCUGCUGCCCCGGGCAAGCUUCCUACCACGGCACCCUCUCGGGUCACUUUUUCAGGAGCUGCUAACUAGGAAGUCGAACCUUAAGCCAGAGUGUAUGAGUCAGCUUUUCAACAGGUCUCUGGCUGUGAAGAAAGCAAGCCUCCUCCUGGGGGAGGGGAGGGAGUGGGAUGGACGGGAGUUUGGGGUCAGGAGAUGCCAACUAUUCCAUUUAGAAAGGAUAAGACACACGAGGUCCUGCUGUACAGCACGGGAAACUACAUCCAAUCUCCCGGGAAAGUCUGCGAUGGAAGAAUGUAAUUAAAGAAUGUACCUGAUGCCCGAGUUCCCAUCGUGGCACAGCAGGAACGGGGUUUCAGGUUCGAUCCCUGGCCUUGCUCAGUGGGUGAAGGAUCCGGCGUUGCUGUGAGCUGUGGUGUAGGUCGCAGAUUGUGUUAGGCUCAAAUGCCAAAAAACUGUUAAAGAAUCAAGACGAAUGAAACCAGGCAUCAGAACCAUGGGACUAGAACCCUCCAGGUACCCAGCGAGAGUCCGUGUUACAAAAGAAUGCCCUGUGGACUGUGGCCUCGGCCUACUGUGGCAGGCUGACAGUGGCUGCGUGAUCGCAGAAAAAAUCAAUUUCUCUAAGCCUCCGUUUCCUGCCUUUAAAAGGGGGAAAGUGACGCCUGCGGGCACCCAGCCCAAAGCCCGGGGCCCAGGCAGGGCCUGCCUUCCCCUUGAGUCUCCCACCCACCCACCCCAGGCUGGUCACAGGCAAAAGGAGCCCACCCAGCACUCUGAGAGGCCUUCCCACCCACUGCGCACCUGGCCCCCCAAAGACCCCACAGCCUCCACCUCCUCCCGCGCCACCUUGGCUCCAGUGAGAGGACACGGGGAGAAGCAACACUAAACAAGAGAGGUUGCCAACAGUGCGUAAAAGCAGAAGAUGUGAAAAUCAGUUUAGGUGAUGAAGUUAGAGGCUCUAAGGUAUGUGUUCCAUCCAACCUGCCCAAGCGUCUCACAACCCUCUCGGCCAGGUCCCUCGGCCCCGGGACAGGCCCUGGAAGGUAUCGAGGCAGGCACAUUCAAAAACGGCUCUGCCUCCCCAGAGGAAAAGGCAGAGGGUGCGCCUCCACGGUAAUUAAUAAACCACGAGCAUCUCUGGGGCCUGCCAGCUGCCUGCCUUCGCAGCCCGCACCCCACUGGGCCCAGCGCUGACCUCGCCUGCGGGAGGAUGUGGGCUCUGGGGAGCCCUGGGAAGAGGGAGGGAGGGAGGGCAGAGCCUUACCUGGGCAGGUGGGCAGAGUGGGCACUAGACGGCCCAUUCAAAGGCAGUGCUGCCUUUGCAGGUGGAUUCUAUUUCAACUCGCAGCUUCCAGAACCCUUUACCCACAGGGUGAUCAAGACUGCAAAUUAGGAGUUCCCAUCGGGAUCAGUGGGAACGAAUCUGACUAGUAUCCAUGAGGACGCAGGUUCGACCCCUGGGCCUGCUUGGCGGGUUAA
rnacentral:lncRNA from 1 species